rnacentral:rRNA from 1 species
GACGAACGCUGGCGGCGUGCCUAAUACAUGCAAGUAGAACGCUGAAGCGAGGAGCUUGCUCUUCUUGGAUGAGUUGCGAACGGGUGAGUAACGCGUAGGUAACCUGCCUGGUAGCGGGGGAUAACUAUUGGAAACGAUAGCUAAUACCGCAUAAAAUUGAUUAUUGCAUGAUAAUUAAUUGAAAGAUGCAACUGCAUCACUACCAGAUGGACCUGCGUUGUAUUAGCUAGUUGGUGAGGUAACGGCUCACCAAGGCGACGAUACAUAGCCGACCUGAGAGGGUGAUCGGCCACACUGGGACUGAGACACGGCCCAGACUCCUACGGGAGGCAGCAGUAGGGAAUCUUCGGCAAUGGGGGGAACCCUGACCGAGCAACGCCGCGUGAGUGAAGAAGGGUUUCGGAUCGUAAAGCCCUGUUGUAAGAGAAGAACGGGUGUGAGAGUGGAAAGUUCACACUGUGACGGUAUCUUACCAGAAAGGGACGGCUAACUACGUG